GACGGACGCUGGCGGCGUGCCUAACACAUGCAAGUCGAGCGGAGAUGUACUGAAGAUUUAUCGGAUGUACAUUUUAGCGGCGGACGGGUGAGUGACGCGCCCCCCCCCCUGCCUUCCACUGGGGGAUAACACAGGGAAACCUGUGCUAAUACCGCAUGACAUCACAUAGGGCAUCCUGUGUGAUCAAAGGAGUGAUCCGGUGGAAGAUGGGCCCGCGUCCGAUUAGCUAGUUGGUGAGGUAACGGCUCACCAAGGCGACGAUCGGUAGCCGGACUGAGAGGUUGGCCGGCCACAUUGGGAUUGAGACACGGCCCAGACUCCUACGGGAGGCAGCAGUGGGGAAUAUUGCGCAAUGGGGGGAACCCUGACGCAGCGACGCCGCGUGAACGAAUACGCCUUCGGGUUGUAAACUUCUUUGAUGAGGGACGAAGGAAGUGACGGUACCUCAAAAAACAAGCCACGGGCUAACUACGGUGCCAGCAGCCCGCGGUAAUACGUAAGUGGG
rnacentral:rRNA from 1 species